rnacentral:rRNA from 1 species
AUUGAACGCUGGCGGCAGGCCUAACACAUGCAAGUCGAACGAGUGGCGGACGGGUGAGUUAUGUCUGGGAAUCCGUCUUAUGGAGGGGGACCACCACUGGAAACGGUCCCUAAUACCGCAUACUCUCAGAUGCGCCCCGAGGGGUUUCGCUGGGUGGUGGGGUAACGGCUCAUCAAGGCGACGAUCCCAAGCUGGUCUGAGAGGAUGACCAGCCACACUGGAACUGGGACACGGGCCAGACUCCUACGGGAGGCAGCAGUGGGGAAUAUUGCACAAUGGGCGCAAGCCUGAUGCAGCCAUGCCGCGUGUAUGAAGAAGGCCUUCGGGUUGUAAAGUACUUUCAGCGGGGAGGCGUUACCCGCAGAAGAAGCACCGGCUAACUCCGUGCCAGCAGCCGCGGUAAUUC